GACGAACGCUGGCGGCGUGCUUAACACAUGCAAGUCGAACGGAGAGGCCCUGCUUUUGUGGGGUGCUCGAGUGGCGAACGGGUGAGUAACACGUGAGUAACCUGCCCUUGACUUUGGGAUAACUUCAGGAAACUGGGGCUAAUACCGGAUAGGAGCUCCUGCUGCAUGGUGGGGGUUGGAAAGUUUCGGCGGUUGGGGAUGGACUCGCGGCUUAUCAGCUUGUUGGGGGGGUAGUGGCUUACCAAGGCUUUGACGGGUAGCCGGCCUGGGAGGGUGACCGGCCACAUUGGGACUGAGAUGCGGCCCAGACUCAUACGGGAGGCAGGAGUGGAGAAUAUUGGACAAUGGGCGGAAGCAUGAUGGAGCAACGCCGCGUGCGGGAAGACGGCCUUCGGGGUGUAACCCGCUUUCGCCUGUGAAGGAGCGUGAGUAAGGGUAAUGGGUAAAGAGGCACGGGCUAAUUACGU
rnacentral:rRNA from 1 species